rnacentral:rRNA from 2 species
CCCUCAGCUAUCUGCAGUCGAGCGACUGAUUAGAGCUUGCUUCUAUGACGUUAGCGGCGGACGGGUGAGUAACACGUGGGCAACCUGCCUGUAAGACUGGGAUAACUUCGGGAAACCGAAGCUAAUACCGGAUAGGAUCUUCUCCUUCAUGGGAGAUGAUUGAAAGAUGGUUUCGGCUAUCACUUACAGAUGGGCCCGCGGUGCAUUAGCUAGUUGGUGAGGUAACGGCUCACCAAGGCAACGAUGCAUAGCCGACCUGAGAGGGUGAUCGGCCACACUGGGACUGAGACACGGCCCAAACUCCUACGGGAGGCAGCAGUAGGGAAUCUUCCGCAAUGGACGAAAGUCUGACGGAGCAACCCCGCGUGAGUGAUGAAGGUUUUCGGGUCGAAAAACUCUGUUGUUAGGAAAAAACAAGUACAAGAGUAACUGCUCGUACCUUGACGGUACCUAACCAAAAAGCCACGGCUAACUACGUGCCAGCAGCCGCGGUAAUACGUAGGUGGCAAGCGUUAUCCGGAAUUAUUGGGCGUAAAGCGCGCGCAGGCGGUUUCUUAAGUCUGAUGUGAAAGCCCACGCCUCACCCGUGGAGGGUCAUUGAAAACUGGGGAACUUGAGUGCAGAAGAGAAAAGCGGAUCUCCACGUGUAGCGGUGAAAUGCGUAGAGAUGUGGAGGAACACCAGUGGCGAAGGCGGUUUUGUGGUCUGUAACUGACGCUGAGGCGCGAAAGCGUGGGGAGCAAACAGGAUUAGAUACCCUGGUAGUCCACGCCGUACACGAUGAGUGCUAAGUGUUAGAGGGUUUCCGCCCUUUAGUGCUGCAGCUACGCAUUAAGCACUCCGCCUGGGGAGUACGGUCGCAGACUGAAACUCAAAGGAUUCGACGGGGGCCCGCACAGCGGUAGCAUCAUGUUGUUUUUAUUUCGAAGCAACGCGAAGCAUCUUACCGAGUCUUGACAUCCUCUGACGACUCUAGAGAUAGAGCGUUUCCCCUUCGGAGACAGAGUGACAGUGUGCAUGUUUGUCUCAGCUCGUGUCGGAGAUGUGGUAAGUCCGCACAGGCACAUUGAUUUAGUGCCAGCCUAGUGAUCUAGGUUACUGCGGUUACACUGGAGUGGGAUACUAAUCCAUGCCAUUAGACUGGCUCACGGGUUCUCAAUUGGAAUGC